rnacentral:rRNA from 1 species
GCGAACGCUGGCGGCAGGCUUAACACAUGCAAGUCGAACGGGCACCUUCGGGUGUCAGUGGCAGACGGGUGAGUAACACGUGGGAACGUACCCUUCGGUUCGGAAUAACCCAGGGAAACUUGGGCUAAUACCGGAUACGUGCGAGAGCAGAAAGAUUUAUCGCCGAAGGAUCGGCCCGCGUCCGAUUAGCUAGUUGGUGAGGUAAAGGCUCACCAAGGCGACGAUCGGUAGCUGGUCUGAGAGGAUGAUCAGCCACACUGGGACUGAGACACGGCCCAGACUCCUACGGGAGGCGGCAGUGGGGAAUAUUGGACAAUGGGCGAAAGCCUGAUCCAGCCAUGCCGCGUGAGUGAUGAAGGCCCUAGGGUUGUAAAGCUCUUUCGCCAGGGACGAUAAUGACGGUACCUGGAUAAGAAGCCCCGGCUAACUUCGU